rnacentral:rRNA from 1 species
UUGGGAGCUCUCCCAUAUGGUCGACCUGCAGGCGGCCGCGAAUUCACUAGUGAUUCGUAUUACCGCGGCUGCUGGCACGGAGUUAGCCGGAGCUUAUUCUCCCGGUACUGUCAUUAUCAUCCCGGGUAAAAGAGCUUUACAACCCUAAGGCCUUCAUCACUCACGCGGCAUUGCUGGAUCAGGCUUUCGCCCAUUGCGCAAGAUUCCCCACUGCUGCCUCCCGUAGGAGUCUGGGCCGUGUCUCAGUCCCAGUGUGGCUGGCCAUCCUCUCAGACCAGCUACUGAUCGUAGCCUUGGUGAGCCAUUACCUCACCAACAAGCUAAUCAGACGCGGGCCGCUCCAAAGGCGAUAAAUCUUUCCCCCGAAGGGCUUAUCCGGUAUUAGCACAAGUUUCCCUGUGUUGUUCCGAACCUAAGGGUACGUUCCCACGUGUUACUCACCCGUCCGCCACUAUCCCGAAGGACCGUUCGACUUGCAUGUGUUAAGCCUGCCGCCAGCGUUCGCUCUGAGCCAUGAUCAAACUCUAAUCGAAUUCCCGCGGCCGCCAUGGCGGCCGGGAGCAUGCGAC